rnacentral:siRNA from 1 species
AACUUCUUUUAGUGAUCUCAAGCU